GGAUGGAAGGGUGAUGUGGCUGCAACGCUGAUCACCCCAUUGAUGGCCAGGGUAGAUUCUGCCCAUCUGGGUAGCAUCCUAUCCAAGUCACUGCUGCACAUGCCUCCUUCCUUGAACGGCCCACUGGCGGAGCAGGCUGCCUUCCCAGACAGAGGAGCACAUUUCUUCAGUCCAGGGUGCGUAAGUGUCUGUGCCUCUUGCUAGAACAUUCUAGUAAACUCUAGAGGCAACUGUGUGGAAGAGUGUAGUAAGGAAAGCUUCCAAGAUUCCAGACAGAACCAAAGCAGAUGCAGGAGCAGCCUGCCUGUCAAAAAGAUAAUUU
ensembl:misc_RNA RN7SKP39 RN7SK pseudogene 39